GUGUGACAAUGAUGACACGCAUUGGAUUGCACCCCUGCCAGGGUGCCUGACUCUAUUAUGGAGAUGUCACCAAUGCUGCCUUCCUACUGAGUUGCAC